AAUAUGCGUGAGCCCCUUUUGUCAGGAGAUUGGUCGAUGAUCGGCAAACCGAUCGUAGGAAUGUGGCGAGUAACCAAUGUCAUCGUGACUAAUAUUUUUCGUUGAUCAAAGGGCUAAAGCUCAAAUGUAACACGACACAGGACGAUGACUGAUAUUACAAUCGUUUAGUUUGAAAUAUUAAGGAAAAAUGGAAUUCUUUUUUAUGAAAUUCUGCACGUAUAUACAUGUAUAUAUGUGAUUUUGAUGAAUGCAUUUUGCAAUUAAUGCAUCAUCUUGCAUACUUUUAAGUAAUUCUUCAUUAAAAAUUAACGAAUAAGAGGAUUUUUUAAAGAGGAACUUUUAAAAAGGAUUCUAAAUACUUAGAAAAGCGUAAUAAUUUUAUUAAGUUGGAAAAGUUCGUGACAGGUAAUUAUAUUGAAAAUUCCGGUGGAAGAUUAAAUAAAAGCAUUUGACCUUUACAAAAACUGAAUCGAUAAUAAGUAACACGAAUUCUACUAUUCUAUAUAUACGUAUGUAGAAGAAAGUGUGCAAGUGUGACAUGUCUAACAGAAACAAGUCGUGAAUUACGUAAUUAUUAUUUAUUCUGUUGUAGACUUUACUUCAUCUCGCGAAGGAAUUAUGUUUCGCUAAGUGGUUGUUUUCUCCAAUUACCAGUUGUUCGUGUUAUGGAUAAGCAAUGCGAGGAGGGUAAACCUCAGCGACAGUAAUGAAAUUAUCGUUAAUAUUGUUUCAAGCUAACGCUCAUUUCGAUUAAACAGCAUGCUUCACUUCCGAUAGACAGCGAAGCGGCUUUGUAUUUGCUAGUUGGGACAAGGAACAGUCAAAUUUUGCUUGUAUCAUGUCAAAAAAUUUGUUAAUACAAAAAAGAAUAUCAAACCUUCCAU